UGCAGAAAGCGGAGUCGCCCGACCCUCCAGGGAGCGGCGUCGUGGAGGUCCCCGCCCGCGGUCUGCAGGCUGCUGUUCCUGGGCCAAAGGGGACACGUGCUUACAGCCCGGAGGCGGCCGGGCUCCAAGGAGAAGAUGCGUCCGGCCGCCGCCGGGUGGAGAGGCGACUUCCUCCGCCCUGGCAGAGCCUCGGACUGAAGCCCAGAGGACCCCAGCACUGCGCAGAGCCUUCUCCAGGCCUCAGGGCCUCGCAGAGCUUCAUCUUUCCAAGUGAGAACGCUCACCAGGGCUUGCCUAGCAGCCGUCCACUCGGGGAGCGCCAGUGGAGCUCGCGAAGGACUGACAGCUGCGGGUAGGAGAGGAGUCUGGGGAGGAUGGUAGACAGAGAACCGAAGCGCGAGAACCGACCGCACAGCCUCGCGGUGUUGGAGAGGCCAGGGCUCCUGCCCCUGGAGCCUCCAUCCGUACUAGUGAUUGGACCCAGGGAUCCUUCACCACUGAGCUACAUCUUCCACCUUUUAAAGUUUUAUUUUGAGAAAGGGUCCUGCUAACUGGAUGAGGUGCCUCCUGCUUCAGACUCCCAGGUAUGUGGGAUUACAGAGGUGUACUAUCCUACCUGGCUUAGGAAAAUGUUUUUUAGUAACUUUUUUAAAAUUUAAGUUUAUGUAAGUGAUCAUUACCUUGCUUAAGUUAAUCAGGGCAGUAACUAAAUUUUUAGAGAUCUAAUUUCUCUAUUCACUUCAGACAGAAAAAGAACGUAUCAAUUUCCUAAGAAUAAUGUAUUUAUAUGUCUGAAAGAAUUUUAUCAAACUCGUGGAGCUUCUAAAGAAACCAUCUAUGGUGCAGCAAGAAAGCAGGAUACUAGGGCUGAGAAAGCAAUUAGCAGAAAACAGACAGCCACAUCCUACAUCCUGGGUUCCAGCACACUUGUGGUGAUAUGAAGCAGAAAAACAUCUUAGAAACAGCUUAAUGUUGUUUAUUCCAUAACACUAACACUUAUCACAUAAUCCUAUUAUCCUACUUAUAUACUUAUAUACUACUUAUAUAUUAUUCAUAACCUAUAAUUCAUAUUGAUUAAGCUCAGACCAUAACAGCGUAUAGAUGAGGGAAACAAGAAGAAAUAUUUAAGCACCACCAGAACCUUGGAAACCCCCCUUGAUGAAGAUUUGAGUAAUUCUAUGAUGCCUUUUUGAGUCUGGCAGUACAUUCUCUUUCUCGGGAUAGGAAGUAAAAUUGCUUUUCAUCCACUGUUA